GAUGAAGAACGUAGCGAAAUGCGAUAAGUAGUGUGUAUUGCAGAAUUCAGUGAAUCAUCGAAUCUUUGAACGCACAUUGCGCCCCUUGGUAUUCCAUGGGGCAUGCCUGUUCGAGCGUCAUUUGUACCUUCAAGCUUUGCUUGGUGUUGGGUGUUUGUCCCUCGGGACUCGCCUUAAAGUCAUUGGCAGCCAGUGUUUUGGUUUUGAAGCGCAGCACAAGUCGCGAUUCAAGGCUAUCCGCCCGCUUCCACAAGCCUUUUUCACUUUUGACCUCGGAUCAGGUAGGGAUACCCGCUGAACUUAAGCAUAUCAAUAAGCGGAGGA
rnacentral:misc_RNA from 1 species